rnacentral:rRNA from 1 species
GACGAACGCUGGCGGCGCGCCUAACACAUGCAAGUCGAACGAGCGCGAGAGAGCUUGCUUUCUCAAGCGAGUGGCGAACGGGUGGGUAACGCGUGAGGAACCUGCCUCAAAGAGGGGGACAACAGAAGGAAACGACUGCUAAUACCGCAUAAGCCCACAGGUCCGGAUCGACCAGAGGGAAAAGGAGCAAUCGCCCUUUGGAUGGCCUCGAUGCCGAUUAGGUAGGUGGUGAGGUAACGGCCCAUCAAGGCAACGACAGCUAGACUGGCUGAGAGGCUGGACCGAGACACUGGCACGAGGAAACAGCCGAGAAUACUGCGGGAGGCAGGAGUGGCGAAUAUUGCACAAUGGGGUAAGCGAAGAUGCAGCUAGGCUGGGAGGACGAAGAUGGUCGGAAGAAUGAGAACUCCUGUUGUAGAGGAAGAUAAUGACGGUACUCAACGAAGAAGUGACGGCUAACUACGUG